UACGUAGGGGGCAAGCGUUGUCCGGAAUCAUUGGGCGUAAAGAGCGUGUAGGCGGCCCGGUAAGUCCGCUGUCAAAGUCAAAGGCUCAACCUUUGAAUGUCAGUGGAUACUGCCGGGCUAGAGUCCGGAAGAGGCGAGUGGAACUCCUGGUGUAGCGGUGGAAUGCGCAGAUAUCAGGAAGAACACCAACGGCGAAGGCAGCUCGCUGGGACGGUACUGACGCUGAGACGCGAAAGCGUGGGGAGCGAACAGG
rnacentral:rRNA from 1 species